rnacentral:rRNA from 1 species
GAUGAACGCUGGCGGCGUGCUUAAUACAUGCAAGUCGAGCGGAAAGGCCAUGCGUUUGUGGGGUGCUCGAGUGGCGAACGGGUGAGUAACACGUGAGUAACCUGUCCUUGACUUUGUGAGAACUUUAGGAAAAUGGGGCUAAUAUCGGAUAGAAGCUAUUGCUGCAUGGUGGGGGUUGGAGAGUGUCGGCGGUUGGGGAUGGAUUAGCGGCUUAUCAGCUUGUUGGUGUGGUAGUGGCAUUCCAAGGCUACGAAGGGUAGCCGGCGUGGGAGGGGGACCGGCCACAUUGGGACUGAGAUACGGCCCAGACUCCUACGGGAGGCAGCAGUGGGGAAUAUUGCACAAUGGGCGGGAGCCUGAUGCAGCAACGCCGCGUGCGGGAUGACGGCCUUCGGGUUAUAAACCGCUGUCGCCUGUGACGAAGCGUGAGUGACGGUAAUGGGUAAAGAAGCACCGGCUAACUACGUG